rnacentral:rRNA from 1 species
UACCAGCACCCCGAGUGGUCGGGACGUUUAUUGGGCCUAAAGCAUCCGUAGCCGGUUCUACAAGUCUUCCGUUAAAUCCACCUGCUUAACAGAUGGGCUGCGGAAGAUACUAUAGAGCUAGGAGGCGGGAGAGGCAAGCGGUACUCGAUGGGUAGGGGUAAAAUCCGUUGAUCCAUUGAAGACCACCAGUGGCGAAGGCGGCUUGCCAGAACGCGCUCGGACGGUGAGGGAUGAAAGCUGGGGGACGCAAACCGG